CUUAAAAGAUCUAUGGUAUAAAUCAGAAAAAGACACAAUCUGGCAAAAAGUGCCCCAUUUAGGACUUUGAGCUAAUGUUAGUCUAUGUGCUGAGAAUUAUUAUUAUAGUCAGGUAGCAGAAACUGAUAAAAUUAAACAAAAUGAAGCCGGAGGAAAGGAAUGAAAUACCGGUAGUUUCAGCAUCUAUUUGCCCAUGAAAAAACAGUUUAGUCUCCAUCUUCUCCGUCAGACAUCUAACUCGCCCACAACACUGCCGCUAACUAUAACCGCCAGUUAUCUUAGCUUCCGUUAACUUAGUUAACGCUAACUAACUUAACGCUGCCCGGCUGAAGAGACCAUGCUUGGAGUUGGCGCUAAAUUUAAUUUCCAGCUCAACAAAGGAGGCAUGUCGGUGUCCAGCAUCAACACACUGGUGGUACCCUUGUCUUUUUUUUUUUGUCUCCCAGGAACAGUUGAAGACAUCAAAAUCUACAUCUGCAUCCUACAACCAAGAAAAGGCAGAUUUUCCUACUGAAACGAUUCUGUUUUUCAGUCUGAUACCAGCCCACUAAACCUCGACUGGUUGGAGCCCUCUCCUUUUGUUUGCUUGACAAUUUGGAAAAUGGAAGCCAUCUGUUGAAGCCAUCAGAUCCACAAAUACAUAGUUUAGUCUCUAGACUGGGAGACCUUCGAGCAGUAGAGCACCUGGCAGCUGUUCCUGGCUCACAGCAUCCCCCUGGAGACCAUCAUCCCCAUCCUGCAGCACCUUAAAUAUAAAGACCACCUGGAGGCCUUGUCCUGUCUGCGGCUGCUCCGCAAAGAGAAGCCCAGUGAGGAGAUGGUGAAGAUGGUCCUGAGUCGUCCCUGUCACCCCGAAGACCAGUUCACCACCAGCAUCCUGAGGCACUUGGCGUCCGCUGGGAGAACACAUCAAGGCCCAGCUGAUCAAGAACAACCUGCCCCGCAAGAUACAGAGGCGAGGACAAACAGAUGAGGACAGACAGAGAUGGACAGACUGAGAUGGGUGAGGACAGACCAGACAGGUGAGGAUUGAGGACAGACUGGGACAGGUGAGGACAGAUAGAACUGAGGUGAGGACUGAUGGGUGAGGACUGUCUUUGGGUACCCGUUGAACAGGGGUUGUGUCUCCAUCCUCAGUCUUCGCAGUUCCUGCAGUAAACUGGGUCAGCUCACCCUGGAACA